rnacentral:rRNA from 1 species
GCCUACGGGAGGCAGCAGUAGGGAAUUUUCGUCAAUGGGCGCAAGCCUGGACGAGCAAUGCCGCGUGAACGAGGAAGGUCUUCGGAUCGUAAAGUUCUGUUGAAGGGGAAAGAGAGCGGAGAGAGGAAAUGGUCUCCGAUUGAUAUUACCCUUCGAGGAAGUCACGGCUAACUACGUGCCAGCAGCCGCGGUAAUACGUAGGUGGCGAGCGUUAUCCGGAAUGAUUGGGCGUAAAGGGUGCGUAGGCGGCCUGCUAAGUCUGGAGUGAAAGGUACCGGCUCAACCGGUACAGGCUCUGGAAACUG